rnacentral:rRNA from 1 species
AUCUAUUGUGAAAACAUUUACAAAAAAUAUGUAUGUUAAUUAAGAACUAAAAUUAAGGGAUCGAAGAUGAUCAGAUACCGUCGUAGUCUUAAUUAUAAACGAUGCCGAUUAGUGAUUAGGUAGUUCGUAAAAAAUGAUAUAUUUAGUAAUUAUUGAGAAAUCAAAGUUUUUAGGUUUUGGGGGGAGUAUAGUCGCAAGAAUGAAACUUAAAAGCAUUGACGGAAAGGCACACAAGGAGUGGAGCUUGCGGUUUAAUUUGACUCAACACAGGAAAUCUCACCAAGUCCAGACAUACAUAGGAUUGACAGAUUAAUAGAUUUUUUUUGAUAUUGUGGGUGGUGGUGCAUGGCCGUUUUUAGUUGGUGGGGUAAUUUGUCUGGUUAAUUCCGUUAACGAACAGGAUUUUAAUGCAUUAAAUAGUAAAAAAAAUUUGAAGUUUUAUAAGCUUUUUAGAAAGACGUUGUAUAUAUAAUAUAAGGAAGUUUAAGGUAAUAACAGGUCUGGAAUGCUUUUAGAUGUUUUGGGCUACACGCGUGUUAUAUUUAUAUAAUUAACGUGUUUUUUUUUGAGUGGGUACACUUGAAUAAUUUUAUUAAUAUAUAUUGUAAUUGGGAUAGAAUAUUGAAAUUAUUAGUCUUUAACGAGGAAUUCCUAGUAAAUAUAAGUCAUAAACUUGUAUUGAUUAUGUCCCUGCCUUUUGUACACACCGCCCGUCGCUCCUAUCGAUUGAAUUAUCCGGUGAAUGAAUCAGAAUGUUUUGUUAAAGAGUAUAUUUUUGAUAUAUUUGUAAUAAGAU